rnacentral:rRNA from 1 species
UAACAUGCAAGUCGAACGGCAGCACGGACUUCGGUCUGGUGGCGAGUGGCGAACGGGUGAGUAAUGCGCCGGAACGUAUCCAGUAGAGGGGGAUAACGCAGCGAAAGCUGUGCUAAUACCGCAUACGCCCUGAGGGGGAAAGCAUGGGAUCUUCGGACCAUGCGUUAUUGGAGCGGCCGACGUCUGAUUAGCUAGUAGGUGAGGUAAAGGCUCACCUAGGCGAUGAUCAGUAGCUGGUCUGAGAGGAUGAUCAGCCACACUGGAACUGAGAGACGGUCCAGACUCCUACGGGAGGCAGCAGUGGGGAAUUUUGGACAAUGGGCGCAAGCCUGAUCCAGCCAUUCCGCGUGAGUGAAGAAGGCCUUCGGGUUGUAAAGCUCUUUCGGCAGGGAAGAAAAGGUUCUGGUUAAUAGCUGGAACUGCUGACGGUACCUGAAGAAGAAGCACCGGCUAACUACGUGCCAGCAGCCGCGGUAAUACGUAGGGUGCGAGCGUUAAUCGGAAUUACUGGGCGUAAAGGGUGCGCAGGCGGCUCUGUAAGUCUGACGUGAAAUCCCCGGGCUUAACCUGGGAACUGCGUUGGAAACUGUAGAGCUAGAGUGUAGCAGAGGGGGGUAGAAUUCCACGUGUAGCAGUGAAAUGCGUAGAGAUGUGGAGGAAUACCGAUGGCGAAGGCAGCCCCCUGGGUUAACACUGACGCUCAGGCACGAAAGCGUGGGUAGCAAACAGGAUUAGAUACCCUGGUAGUCCACGCCCUAAACGAUGUCAACUAGUUGUUGGGGAGGGAGACCUCCUUGGUAACGCAGCUCACGCGUGAAGUUGACCGCCUGGGGAGUACGGUCGCAAGAUUAAAACUCAAAGGAAUUGACGGGGGCCCGCACAAGCGGUGGAUUAUGUGGAUUAAUUCGAUGCAACGCGAAAACCUUACCUACCCUUGACAUGUACGGAAGACUGCAGAGAUGUGGUUGUGCUUGAAAGAGAACCGUAACACAG